AACUGCGAUAAGUAAUGUGAAUUGCAGAAUUCAGUGAAUCAUCGAGUCUUUGAACGCACAUUGCGCCCCCUGGCAUUCCGGGGGGCAUGCCUGUCCGAGCGUCAUUGCUGCCCUUCAAGCCCGGCUUGUGUGUUGGGUCGUCGUCCCCUCCGGGGGACGGGCCCGAAAGGCAGCGGCGGCACCGCGUCCGGUCCUCGAGCGUAUGGGGCUUUGUCACCCGCUCGAUAAGGACCGGCCGGGCGCCAGCCGGCGUCUCCAACCUUUUUUUUCUCAGGUUGACCUCGGAUCAGGUAGGGAUACCCGCUGAACUUAAGC
rnacentral:misc_RNA from 1 species